GGUGCCUCUAGAGGCUUUGCAGAUGUGGCUUUUGUGUCAUGUGUGCCUCAGUAGGUGGAAGAGAGGAGAUAGGCUAUGUCUACCCUCAGGUUUCUGACCUAUGAACAUCUGAAUAAUUAGUAGCCUAAUACU